rnacentral:rRNA from 1 species
AGGGAAUUUUCCACAAUGGGCGAAAGCCUGAUGGAGCAACGCCGCGUGAACGAUGAAGGUCUUCGGAUUGUAAAGUUCUGUUGUCAGGGACGAACAAGUACCGUUCGAACAGGGCGGUACCUUGACGGUACCUGACGAGAAAGCCCCGGCUAACUACGUGCCAGCAGCCGCGGUAAUACGUAGGGGGCAAGCGUUGUCCGGAAUUAUUGGGCGUAAAGCGCGCGCAGGCGGUCGGGUAAGUCUGAUGUUAAAGCCCGGGGCUCAACCCCGGUUCGCAUUGGAAACUGCUCGACUUGAGUGCAGAAGAGGAAAGCGGAAUUCCACGUGUAGCGGUGAAAUGCGUAGAGAUGUGGAGGAACACCAGUGGCGAAGGCGGCUUUCUGGUCUGUAACUGACGCUGAGGCGCGAAAGCGUGGGGAGCAAAC